rnacentral:rRNA from 8 species
ACAGGGAUUGCCCUAGUAACGGCGAGUGAAGCGGCAACAGCUCAAAUUUGAAAUCUGGCUCUUUUAGAGUCCGAGUUGUAAUUUGCAGAGGGCGCUUUGGCUUUGGCAGCGGUCCAAGUUCCUUGGAACAGGACGUCACAGAGGGUGAGAAUCCCGUACGUGGUCGCUGGCUAUUGCCGUGUAAAGCCCCUUCGACGAGUCGAGUUGUUUGGGAAUGCAGCUCUAAAUGGGAGGUACAUUUCUUCUAAAGCUAAAUAUUGGCCAGAGACCGAUAGCGCACAAGUAGAGUGAUCGAAAGAUGAAAAGCACUUUGGAAAGAGAGUCAAACAGCACGUGAAAUUGUUGAAAGGGAAGCGCUUGCAGCCAGACUUGCUUACAGUUGCUCAUCCGGGCUUUUGCCCGGUGCACUCUUCUGUAGGCAGGCCAGCAUCAGUUUGGGCGGUAGGAUAAAGGUCUCUGUCACGUACCUCCUUUCGGGGAGGCCUUAUAGGGGAGACGACAUACUACCAGCCUGGACUGAGGUCCGCGCAUCUGCUAGGAUGCUGGCGUAAUGGCUGUAAGCGGCCCGUCUUGAAACACGGACCAAGGAGUCUAACAUCUAUGCGAGUGUUUGGGUGUCAAGCCCGAGCGCGUAAUGAAAGUGAACGGAGGUGGGAACCCGCAAGGGUGCACCAUCGACCGAUCCUGAUGUCUUCGGAAGGAUUUGAGUAAGAGCAUGGCUGUUGGGACCCGAAAGAUGGUGAACUAUGCUUGAAUAGGGUGAAGCCAGAGGAAACUCUGGUGGAGGCUCGCAGCGGUUCUGACGUGCAAAUCGAUCGUCAAAUUUGGGCAUAGGGGCGAAAGACUAAU